rnacentral:lncRNA from 1 species
AGGGGAGUCCAGGCCGCUCUUUGCCCCAGGCUAUAAUGGCCUCGUCUGUAGCCUGCACAGAUGCUGGCACAUUUCCUGGGUGGUUCAUCUCAGCCACUCAGUCCCCACACACCCGGCCAGCAUGUAUGGUGUGCCUGCAGCGUGCUCAGGGGGCAGAAGAGGCACCUGCUUGUGCACUGCCGAGUCUUAGGCUCCUCCCAGCAUGGAACUUGUGGAGGAACCUGCCAAGCCCCAGCUGCUCCAAGAGGAGGCCCGACGUCCCAGAAGCACCCUGCCACUGGGUGACCGCCACCGCCCGCUCUCCCAGCCGCCUGCAGACAAGACACUGUUGA